rnacentral:rRNA from 1 species
UACGUAGGGGGCAAGCGUUGUCCGGAUUUAUUGGGCGUAAAGAGCGUGUAGGCGGCCAAGCAGGUCCGCUGUGAAAACUCGAGGCUCAACCUCGAGAGGUCGGUGGAAACCGUUUGGCUAGAGUCCGGAAGAGGAGAGUGGAAUUCCCGGUGUAGCGGUGAAAUGCGCAGAUAUCAGGAGGAACACCGGUGGCGAAGGCGGGUCUCUGGGCAGUAACUGACGCUGAGAAGCGAAAGCGUGGGGAGCGAACAGG